UACAGAGGGUGCGAGCGUUAAUCGGAAUUACUGGGCGUAAAGGGCGCGUAGGUGGAUAAUUAAGUCGGAUGUGAAAUCCCUGGGCUUAACCUGGGAAUGGCAUACGAUACUGGUUGUCUAGAGUUGAGUAGAGGGAAGUGGAAUUUCCGGUGUAGCGGUGAAAUGCGUAGAUAUCGGAAGGAACACCAGUGGCGAAGGCGGCUUCCUGGACUCAAACUGACGCUGAGGCGCGAAAGCGUGGGGAUCAAACAGG
rnacentral:rRNA from 1 species